rnacentral:lncRNA from 1 species
GAGUUUUUGGGGAAUUUUGGGUGGGGGUGUUUUUUAAUUUUUGGGGGAUUUUUUUUUUAUUUUUCCCAGAUUUUUGGGGAUUUUUUUGGGAUUUUUUGGGGGAGAUUUUUGGGGGGUUUUAAAAAAUUUUGGGGAUUUUUGGGGAAAUUUGUUGGGAUUUUUGGGGGAUUUUUUGGGAAUUUUUUGAGAGCUUUUGGGGAAUUUUCGGGGUUUUUUUUGAUUUUUUUUUUCAUUUUUGGGGAGUUUUUGGGGCAUUUUGGGAGAGAUUUUUGGGGUUUUUUAAAAAAUUUUGGGAGUUUUUCUGGGGAUUUUUGGGGUUUGGGUAUUCGGUAUUUUUUCCGAUUUUUGGCGAUUUUUUGGAGGAUUUUAUGGGAUUUUUUGGGGGGAAUUAUUUGGGAUUUGGGGGGGGAUUUUUUGGAUUUUUUGGGGGAAUUAUUGAGGUUUUUUUUAGGUUUUUUUUUUUUUUUAGGAUUUUUAUCCGAUUUUUGGGAGUUUUGGCAUUUGGGAUUUCCCCAAAUCCUGGGAUUUGUUGGGAAUUUUGGGGGAUUUUUCUGGGAUGUUUUGGGGGUUUGGUGGUUUGGGAUUUUCCCAAAUUUUUGGGGAUUUUUUUGGCAUUUAAGGGGGAUUUUUUUGGUUUUUCUUAAUUUUAAGGGGGAUUUUUGGGAGGGAUUUUUGGUGAUUUUCCUGGAAUUUUGGGGGAUUUUGGGGAUUUGGGAUUUUUCUAGAAGUUUUUGGGAUUUCUGGGGGAUUUUUGGGGAUAUUUUUCUGGAAUUUUUUGCAUUUGGGCCGAUUUUUCUGGAAUUUUUGGGGAUAUUUCUGCCAUUUUUUAGCGGAUUCUCGGAUUUUAGGGAAUAUUUGGGAUCACCCCAACCUCCCAAACUCAUCCCAAGGGGUUGGAAAAAUUCCGAUUCCCAAAUUUUGGGAAUUUUUUGGGAUCAUCCCGCGGGAAAAUUUCCCCCUUCCCACACCCUUAAAGAAGCCGGGCGAAAAUCAGCCAAUCACAGAGGGGCGCGGGUGAAAUCGGCC